CUCCUCUCAGAGUCACACCUGGAGAGUUUCCAGUACUCUACCAGCCUCGGCCAGGGGUGGGAGAGCCAAGCAGGAGCAUACCUAGUCCAUUGCUAGCUUGGGCAGUGGCUAGUAAGUGGAAGGCAAUCUGCUACAAGU